CCAGCAAAUGAGAUCUAUGUUUUUGUUUUUCCAGUGGACAAAAAUUAGGGAACUACAGUUGAAGUAUUGUAACUUUGCAUUGUACAUAGCUUUGCUGCAAUUUAGGCUUCUUGAAGUGUUCAGAACAUAAUGUAUACGUGGCAGUUGUGCUGGUUAUUGCAAACUGGUUUUGAUGCUGCAUUUACAUUGGGCUCUCAGUGUAAUACUCUAUUACUACAGGUAAUAUAGUUUGGUGGAUCAGGCUGGAGGACAUUACUCUCUUAGGGUAUGGCAACCCCCCUCUAGUGAUGACAAGCAGCGUUGUAGAAAGUCUUUUGCCUCCAAAUGGUAGUCACCUCUUUUCCUUUACAGCAAAAAAUCAAAAGGGGAGAGAAAACAAAGAACCCAAAGGGGAAACCUGCACUGACAAAAAGGUGGGGGAGGGGGGUAUCUUGCACUAAAACCCCCACAUUGCUAGGGGGCAAGAGGAAACAAAGGGGAAUGAGAGGCAGUUCAGACAUGCUAAAAGAAGAUUCUCAGAUUUAAGGCCAAAAGAAGGCCAGCAAACACGCCAGGAAGAAGAAGAAGAAGAGGAGGAGGAGGAGGAGGAGGAGUUUGGAUUUGAUAUACCGCUUUAUCACUACCCGAAGGGGUCUCAAAGCGGCUAACAUUCUCCUUUCCCUUCCUCCCCCACAACAAACACUCUGUGAGGUGAGUGGGGCUGAGAGACUUCAGAGAAGUCUGACUAGCCCAAGGUCACCCAGCAGCUGCAUGUGGAGGAGCGGGGAAGUGAACCAGGUUCACCAGGUUACGAGUCCACCGCUCUUAACCACUACACCACACUGGCAAGCCUCCGAGGAGAGCAGGCCAGACCCAGUCAUUCCCAACCACAGACUGGGUUGGCCUGAUGAGUGGGGUGGCCCUCCCACCAGAUAGGAGGCAGAAGACUUUCUAGGACCCCACCUGUCAUCACCAGAGGGAGCUGUCAUUCCCUAUCAGGGGAACGUCCUCCAUCCCAAUCCACAAACUAGAAUUCACAGUAAGAAUUCCCAAGAGGACUAAGGUAUUCAAUGCAUUCGUUUUUUCACCCUAAGGACUUUUGACUGUACAGUGAAAGUUCUCUUCCCUCUUCUUUUUCCAUUCACCCCAUAAAUUCGAUCUGAGUUUCUCCCAACCCUUUGGAGCUUGGUGGGUUGAGUUCAGUUGAUUGCAGUGUGGCUUGGUUUUUUGGGGUGGAGGGGCGGUCCUAGGUUGUUGGGUCAGGUUAGCCAUUUGUAAUGGUGGUGUGAUUUUUUAAAAGAGGCAUUUAUACAAAGGGCAAAACUUACGGAACGUAACUCCGUGUGUGUGUAAACAGGAUUUUGUUGUAAUUUUCUCAUUUCCUUUAAUUUGCAUUUGGCAGCACAAGGCUUCGUAUUAAGAUAGGGUCUCUUAGUACAUUGUGCUUUAAACAGCUUCAUCACUUGUUAGUAAAACUGGUAUUUGACAGUUAAAGGAAGAGAAUUGUGGUUACAUGGUGGUUUUUCCACAUUGUAUUCUGCUGUCACCAUGUGGUUAGUCUUUUUUUUGCCUUGUCAUUUGUUAACACCAUCCAGAAUUUUAUUGUCUAGGAUGUGGUAUAAUAAAGUUUUCUGACAGAUGAA